rnacentral:lncRNA from 1 species
CGCCUCCCCCAUAUUCCCCUGCUCCCCCUGCGCGCGCCCCGGCCACCUGAGCUCGCCGCCAGCCGCCGGAGCUGGCUGCUCCAUCCAUUCUCCAUCUUCUUCCCUCUUUUUCUCUCUCCCUCUCUCCUCUCGGGUUGAGUGUAGGCCCGGGGCGGCGCCUCCUGCAGACCCUCCCCCUGGAUUUCACCGUGCUCCGGCAACCUUCCCCGCCGACCGCCGCCGUCGCCGGGCGCCGCCGCUGCUGC